AGCAGCCGCGGUAAUUCCAGCUCCAAUAGCGUAUAUUAAAGUUGUUGCAGUUAAAAAGCUCGUAGUUGAAUUUCGGGGUUAGUAGGUUGGUCAUGCCUCCGGUAUGUACUGGUCUCACUGAUUCCUCCUUCCUGAUGAACCGUAAUGCCAUUAAUUUGGUGUGGUGGGGAAUCAGGACUGUUACUUUGAAAAAAUCAGAGUGUUUAAAGCAGGCUCGCGCUUGAAUACAUUAGCAUGGAAUAAUGAAAUAGGACGUUUAUCCUAUUUUGUUGGUUUCUAGGAUUGACGUAAUGAUUAAUAGGGAUAGUUGGGGGCAUUAGUAUUCAAUUGUCAGAGGUGAAAUUCUUGGAUUUAUUGAAGACUAACUACUGCGAAAGCAUUUGCCAAGGAUGUUUUCAUUAAUCAAGAACGAAAGUUAGGGGAUCGAAGACGAUCAGAUACCGUCGUAGUCUUAACCAUAAACUAUGCCGACUAGGGAUCGGAUGAUGUUAAUUUUUANGUACUCGUUCGC
rnacentral:rRNA from 1 species